rnacentral:tRNA from 1 species
AUCACAUUAGCUCAGUGGCUAGAGUGCUGGCAUGGUACGCCAAAGGUGUUGAGUUCGAAUCCCAGUUGUGACU